rnacentral:lncRNA from 1 species
UCUUCUCCACUCUCGAGACUGCUAGCCUAGCUGCUCAUGGAGUAGUCCCUUUCUCUUCCUCUAUGCAAUGCUCUAGAAGGAUUUCUGGGAUGAUCCUCAAAUGGGAGUACAAUAGCCUUUUUAUAGAUGUUACGAGGGAGGAGUUUUACAUGAUUUUCAGAUGUGGGACUAAAAAAAAUACUAAAGACUAAAAGAUGGAUGGA